CCCUUAUGUGGGGGAAGGACGGAUCGGGGGGGCUGGUUAACUUCCCCUGGUGAGGGUCAGGAUGGAAAAAAAUGCCCUCGAUACUACGUUACCCCCUGGGACACCCGGGGGUUGUAAGGGAGCAUCGUGAUCUCUAGGGAGGCAGCGGCAUGAUGGGCAGCCAAGGGGACUGCAGUGUCAGGGUGGCACUGAGGAUCCGCCCUCAGAGCAGUAAGGAACAAGCUGAAGGAUGUCAUGUGUGUACUGGGGUAUACCCAGGAGAGCCCCAGGUUCUUCUGGGUAAGGAUAAGGCUUUCACAUACGAUUAUGUGUUUGACAUGGACACUGAGCAGAUCAAAGUGUACGAGACUUGUGUACGAGGGCUGGUGGAGGGCUGCUUCCAAGGUUACAAUGCAACUGUUCUGGCCUAUGGACAGACUGGAGCAGGGAAAACACACACAAUGGGGACUGGAUUUGAACUGGCAGUAACAGAGGCAGAGCUAGGAAUUAUUCCUAGGGCAGUCCGCCAACUCUUUGGUACCAUCCAGGAGCGCAUAGCUGCUGCUAGUGAGAAUGGAAGGCCAGAACCCAGCUUUAAAGUUAGCACACAGUUCUUAGAGCUUUACAAUGAGGAGAUCUUGGAUCUCUUUGAUGUGUCACGUGACCCUGACUCCCGCCAUCGAAAAUCCAAUAUCCGGAUCCACGAGGAUGCCAGUGGUGGAAUCUAUGUCAGUGGAGCUAGCACCCGUAGUGUGAGCUCAGAUGCAGAGCUGUUACAGCUUCUAAAGGAAGGAGCUCUUUCCCGUACCACAGCCAGCACACAAAUGAACUCUCAGAGUUCGCGCUCACAUGCCAUCUUCACAAUCCAUCUACACCAGACACGGGUUUCUGAUUCAUGUCCGAUUGAUGCCCCUAAUUUGGAGUAUGAGACACUGACUGCCAAGUUUCACUUUGUGGAUUUGGCUGGAUCAGAGCGUUUGAAAAGAACAGGAGCAACUGGGGAGAGAGCAAGAGAAGGGAUAUCUAUUAACUGUGGCCUGCUGGCAUUGGGGAAUGUGAUCAGCGCACUGGGAGAUCAGAGUAAGAAGAUUCUCCAUGUUCCGUACAGAGAUUCCAAACUGACCCGUCUGCUACAAGACUCGCUUGGGGGUAACAGCCAGACUAUGAUGAUUGCUUGUGUCUCUCCAUCUGAUCGUGAUUUUAUGGAAACCUUGAACACUCUCAAAUAUGCUAACCGAGCACGGAACAUCAAGAACCGUGUGACAGCCAAUCAGGAACAGAGCGUCCAGCAAGUGCAGGCACUGAGAGCAGAGCUAGCACGACUACGGUUGGAACUGCAGGAGUACAAAUCGGGUCACCGUGUCCCUGGCUCAGAUGCACUGAGUGACAUGUGCGAGGAACUGUCCAUGCUGCGCAGUGAAAACUCAUCCCUGAGACUUCGGGUCACUGCUUUGCAGGAAGCAAUCAAGGCCAUCAACGCCCGUGUAACCCGUAUGGCCGGACAAGAAGCAGCCCGUCUUCUGCAGAGAGCUGGUGAAAGCAACGAAGAAAUCCAAGCUCUGAUACAAAACUAUAUCCAUGAAAUUGAAGAGCUGAGGACCCGGUUGGUGGAAAGUGAGGCAAUGAAUGAAUCGUUGAGACGGAGUCUUUCUCGAGCCAAUGCACGUGCUGCAGUUUCUGGACCUGCACAGCCCACUCCCACUCUAGACUCAGAGGUCAAUGCAGUUGUUCGUAGAGCAAAGGAAGAGGUACAAAGUCUGAGGCAAAAGGCUAGCCCAGAUGUUGGCAGCUACAAAAAGAGAACAAAAAAUGAAUUCGAAAAAUGUGAGGAAACAGAUGAGAACGAAGCAGAAGAGGAGUAUGAACAUGAAGAGAGCGAGGGUGAUGUGGAAGAGAGUGAGGAAAGUGGGGAGAGUGAGGCAGAAACAGACUCAGAGCCUGAAGAAAAAGGCUCACUCGGAGGAGACCUGGCUGAUUUAACAUGUGAGAUUGAAAUAAAGCAGCGUCUCAUAGAAGAACUGGAGCAGAGUCAGCGUCGGCUGCAGACACUCAAACUCCAAUAUGAGGAGAAGCUCCAGCAGCUACAGAGCCGGAUCCGUGAUACACAAAUGGAGAGGGAUCGAGUGCUCAGAGAGCUUAGCUCUAUGGAGUGUUAUACAGAGGAAAAAGCUAACAAGAUCCGUGCAGAUUAUGAGAAACGCUUACGAGAAAUGAAUCGUGACCUGCAGAAGCUUCAGUUAGCCCAGAGAGAGCAUGCGAGACUGUUAAAGAACCAAUCGCGAUAUGAACGAGAGCUACGUAAACUUCAGGGGGAGCUGAGUGAUAUGAAGAAAGCAAAGGCAGUGCUAAUGAAACAGAUGCGGGAGGAGCAACAGCGGCGAAAACUUGUGGAGUCUAAGAGGAACCGAGAGAUUGCUCAGCUGAAGAAAGAACAGCGCAGACAAGAGCUUCAAAUCCGGGCACUAGAAUCUCAAAAGAGACAGCAGGAGAUUGUGCUGAGGCGCAAGACACAGGAGGUCUCUGCUUUACGACGGCUCUCUAGACCCGCACCUGAUCGUUCCGUCAGCCGCCUUUCCUCCCUUCCAGACUCUGGAGCAGAGAUGUCUACUAGCACAACAUCUUCAGAACCAGACAGCAGCACACGCUCUGUCUCCAGCAUUGUCAGACAGUGGAACAGAAAGGCAACUAUGGACACGACACCAGUGACAAAUGGAACUCGUACACCAAGGAGAAAAGUGGUCCGACCUGGGCUUCCACUCAGCAAGGCUGCCCGAAUGAAAUGGCAGACACUGGAAAGGAGGGUUCAUGAAGUUGUUCUACAGAGGCUCACUCUUCUUAACCUUGAGAAUGACAUGGAAAGGCUGCUGAGGAAACGUGAAGAGCUCUCCCUCUUGCAAGAGGCAUUACUAAGCCGCACAGUUAUCCCCCCAGAAGGUAGCAGUGGAGAAGACGCAGUGCAACAGGAUGUUGCUGAAGAGUUGGAGGCAUUGACAGCUAAUAUUGAUUAUAUCAAUGACAGCAUUCGGGAAUGCCAGGCUUUGAUUGUACAGAUGGAAGAAACUAAGGAGGAUUUAGACCCUACUGAUACCUCGGUUGUUAUUAGCUCUUGCUCACUUACUGAAGCACGGCAUCUGCUUGAUAACUUCCUGCGGGCUUCUAUAGACAAGGGCCUGCAGGUAGCUCAGAAGGAUGCACAGAUCCGGAUUCUGGAAGCCCGCCUACGACAGACAGACAUGGCUGGCUUGGCACAAUCUCAGCUGUUAUUGGACAGAUCCGAGUGUCAAACACUGCAGAAUGAAAAUGGCUAUGCCAGCACAGAUGAAGAGGUUUCAGAAAUAAGCCAAGCAUCUGAUGGAAGCACCUCUUUUUGCAUGAAAGGAUCAAACAGUCAAGAUGACUUUAAGUGGAGGGGGGAACCCCGCCUUUCUUGGCAAGUGAAGGCUGUGUCUGCUGAGUCCCUGAGCCCAUUAUUAGAGGCCUCAACCAAAAACAUCACCAAAUCUCUAGCAUCACUGACUGAUAUUCUUGAAGAUGUUGGAGGAUUCUCCAGUGGAGCUCUACAGGGAAGGGGGUCACGUAGCCUUACCCUACCGAUCCGUGGAAACACAUUUCCAAGGCAGUCACGUGGUUCAAACACAUCCCCCCUGACACGCAGAAAAUCUUAUGACAGAGGACAACCCAGAACCAUGGAUUCCAAUCUGACACCCCCAUCAUCUCCCCCUAUGCGUCCCCGAAAUGAUAAAAAUGUUUUUUCCAGACUGACGAGCAACCAGAGCACAGGAACUGCAUUAGAUAAGUGUGAGGAGAGUGACAGUUCUUUCUCCGAGGCCUUCAGGGGUGUGAUUAGCCCUGUAGGGGGUGUUAAAGGAGCUAGAAUGGCCCCUUUGCAGUGUGUGGCUAUAGCAGAGGGGCAUACAAAGCCAGUGCUCUGUGUGGAUGCUACAGAGGAACUACUGUUCACAGGAUCAAAGGACCGUACCUGCAAGCUGUGGAACUUGGUGUCAGGCCAAGAGAUCGGCUCCCUCCGUGGCCAUCCCCAUAAUGUGGUGUCUCUGAAGCAUUGUCCUAACUCUGGUCUUGUGCUCACUGCAUCUGCUUCAUGUGUACGGGUCUGGGAUAUCCGCGACCCUUCUCGAUGUGUGCGGACUCUGUUGUCUUCAGGUCAGGUAGUAUCAGGCGACCCCUCCUCUGGAUUGGGCCUCCGCUCUGCAAGUAGCUCCCAGGGGGAAAUGCAGGUUAAUCAGAUUGCUCUUAACCCAGAUGGAACAAUCCUGUACACCGCUGCUGGGAAUGCAGUACGGGCUUGGGAGCUAAGCAGGUUGCAGCCUAUUGGGAAGCUUACAGGUCACAUGGCUCCCGUCAUGUGUUUGACUGUCAGCAAAACUCAGAGUGGCCGAGACCUUGUAAUCACUGGAUCCAAGAACCAUUACGUCAAGAUGUUCGAACUCCACUCGGGAUGGGGAGGGAGUGUUCCUCCCACCUAUAACCUUGAGCCUCCACAUUAUGAUGGGAUUGAGUGCUUGGCUGUGCAGAAUGGUAUACUCUGUAGUGGCUCCCGUGAUAACGGUAUAAAAAAAUGGGACCUCCAGCAACAUGCACUCAUACAGCAAGUACCUAAUGCACAUCGAGACUGGGUUUGCGCUUUGGGCUUUGUCCCUGGACGUUCCAUGAUGCUCAGCGGCUGCCGUGGGGGUAUAUUGAAGGUCUGGAAUAUGGACAAUUUCACACCUAUUGGAGAAGUCAAGGGUCAUGAAAGCCCCAUCAAUGCCAUGUGUGCUAACAGCCGUCAUGUCUUCACAGCAUCCAGUGACUGCCGGGUCAAGCUGUGGGUGUAUGUUCCUGGCCUUACUCCAUGUCUCCCACGACGGGUUCUGGCGAUCAAGGGCCGUGCCACUAGCCUUCCGUAAUAGUGCCCUUCAUCUCUCACCUCCCCACUGUUCCUCUAACAACCCCCAUUAUAAAGAUCAACCCCUGUUCCCCUUCAUUUGAGGUAUGGGACACUCUCCUCUAUGUAAACUGAGAUUUGACAGUGACCUCACAGUGAAGAUGUGGAGUGGAAGAAGAGGUCUUGUCCGGAUCACAUGACCCCUUUAACUCCUAAACCUUAAGCACAACCAGGGGGCUGACACUGGCUCAUUAGGAAGAUCUGACAGUCCAGUGGAAGAACAUGACCAGCUUUUUGCUUCUUCACAUCCACGGUGGUUGCUUGUUUGGGCCUUUUUUUAAAUAUAAUCAUUGUUUACCCAACCGGUUAUCCCCGUCACAGCAGAUCUACCUGCCCAGUGCAACUAAACAAGAUAUGCGUUGAGUUGCUGAGGAAAAGGUGGGAUAUAGGGUGGGGGAAAAGCAUGCAAAGAGAGAAAAAGAUGAGACCCAUCCUAAUUUAUUUAAAACUUUUGGAUACAAUUACAGCUGCCUUUAUAAUGCCCAAGUACCUCCUAGCAUGCCACAUCUAGGAACUGCCCCUUACAUAUGCUUGCCCUUGUACUGUCCACUUUACAAUUCUAAAACC